rnacentral:rRNA from 1 species
GAUGAACGCUGGCGGCGUGCUUAACACAUGCAAGUCGAACGGAAAGGCCCAAGCUUGCUUGGGUCCUCGAGUGGCGAACGGGUGAGUAACACGUGGGUGAUCUGCCCUGCACUUCGGGAUAAGCCUGGGAAACUGGGUCUAAUACCGGAUAGGACCACAUUUUGGAGGGUGUGGUGGAAAGUUUUUCGGUGUGGGAUGAGCUCGCGGCCUAUCAGCUUGUUGGUGGGGUAAUGGCCUACCAAGGCGUCGACGGGUAGCCGGCCUGAGAGGGUGUACGGCCACAGUGGGACUGGGAUACGGACCAGACUCCUACGGGAGGCAGAAGUGGGGAAUAUUGCACAAUGGGCGCAAGCCUGAUGCAGCGACGGCGCGUGGGGGAUGACGGCCUUGGGGUUGUAAACUCCUUUCGCUAGGGACGAAGAGUUAUGUGACGGUACCUGGAGAAGAAGCACCGGCUAACUACGUG